rnacentral:rRNA from 1 species
GAUGAACGCUGGCGGCGUGCCUAAUACAUGCAAGUCGAGCGAACAGACGAUGAGCUUGCUCCUUUGACGUUAGCGGCGGACGUGUGAGUAACACGUGGGUAACCUACCUAUAAGUCUGGGAUAACUUCGGGAAACCGGAGCUAAUACCGGAUAAUAUUUCGAACCGCAUGGUUCGAUAGUGAAAGAUGGCUUUGCUAGCUCUUAUAGAUGGACCUAGGCCGGAUUAGCUAGUUGGUAGGGUAACGGCUUACCAAGGCGACGAUCCGUAGCCGAUCUGAGAGGAUGAUCGGCCACACUGGAACUGAGACACGGUCCAGACUCCUACGGGAGGCAGCAGUGGGGAAUAUUGGGCAAUGGGCGCAAGCCUGACCCAGCCAUACCGCGUGGGUGAUGAAGGCCUUCGGGUCGUAAAGCCCUGUUGUUGGGAAAGAACAGCAGUAGGUUAAUACCCCGCUGUUCUGACGGUACCCAAUGAAUAAGCACCGGCUAACUUCGUG